UAGCGUGUAUGUAGUUUGGUGUGAAAAGUAAGAAAGUGAGAAAGCCAUUCGUGAGUUUUUGAACUCUUCUUUUUGUUGUUGAGAAACAUUAGGGAAACGUCGAGAUAUUGUCCGGAGGCAUUGUUCUGAGAGUGGUCAGGAAAUGUCAGGGGGCAUUAUCGCGUGGGUCGUCAUCGGGUUGUCCAUCGUGUCCAAAGAGUGCCAGGGGUCUGUCAGGGGUCAGUACGUCGUGUAAUCAAGUUAUCAGUCCAUGUCCAAAGAGUGCCAGGGGUCUGUCAGGGGUCAGUAGGUCGUAUAAUCGAGUCAUCAGUCCAUGUCCAAAGAGUGCCAGGGGUCUGUCAGGGGUCAGUAGGUCGUAUAAUCGAGUUAUCAGUCCAUGUCCAAAGAGUGCCAGGGGUCUGUCAGGGGUCAGUAGGUCGUAUAAUCGAGUUAUCAGUCCGUGUCCAAAGAGUGCCAGGGGUCUGUCAGGGGUCAGUAGGUCGUAUAAUCGAGUUAUCAGUCCGUGUCCAAAGAGUGCCAGGGGUCUGUCAGGGGUCAGUAGGUCGUGGGUCGUCAGGAGUUGUCAGUCCGUGUGUUUUUUUAGUCUGGCUGAGCCGCUGUCUCCCCAGAAGAGUCUCAGCCAUAACUUUGGUGUUGUCUGUUGGUCUGGAUAAGCCGCAUUCUCCCCAGAGGAGACUCACUCUUACCAACACACAGCACCGUUUUUUUGUUGUUUUAUGAUUUUUUUGUUGUUUUUAUGUUUUUAUAGUUAGUGACGCUCUGCCCUGCUGGGGGGAUUUCUUCUUCCCCGCGCGGCAGUUCCUCUUGGAGGCGUCAGUCAUUAUGAUUAUGGUGAUUUGUACCGGUGACCUAAACUGAUAUAAGGGUCACAGCUCGUCUGGCUACUUCUUAGGAAGGUCAGCACGUCUUGCGGGAACUUCAACGCCCCCCCCGCCGGACCUUCGGGAUCCCCGGCACCGCCAUGGACGCCCCGGGGGAGCCAGGGCGCUCUACCGAGGCCCCUCAUGUCCUGCGAUGCUCACCAGCAAGACCAAGGACUCGCUGGUGCUCCCCAGCCCCGACGAUUCGAGGAGGGCGGGUGCAAGAACGCGCUUCUCAAAAGUGCCAGACGGGAUUAUUAAAUCAAUCACAAACACUGUGAGGGCGCCGCGCACCGCGUUUGUAGGUUCUGGGAUGGAAAGUCGGAAGGCCUCGGGAACGGGACAGAGCAUCAACAAAACAGAAAGAAAAACUCGAGACGGCUUUCGGUGCGGCAUUCGAUUCCCUCUUUCUUUCUCACUUCCCUUCCACCCUCUCUUUCUUCCUUG